rnacentral:rRNA from 1 species
AUGACAAGUGGCUGGGUUGGAUGGAAUCUAUCUUUGGUUCCGGUGUCUUCUGUCUUACUCAAUGGGGUUCCUGGCAGAAAAUUCCAAUGCAAAUGCGGGAUGCACCAGGGCGACCCCCUCUCUCCUCUGAUUUUUGUCCUCGCUGCUGAUCUUCUCCAAGCCGCAGUCAAUGAAUCUUUUGCUCGUGGAUUGAUUGAUCUACCCAUCCCAUGCAAUCACGACGGGGAUUAUCCGGUGGUGCAGUACGCAGACGAUACCAUUCUGGUGAUGCAUGCCUGCCCUGACCAAGCUGCCCGUAUGAAAACAAUCCUAGAGGAUUAUGCAGCAUCUGUUGGUCUGAAAACUAAUUUUCAUAAAUCCACGCUUAUACCCAUUAACCUUGAUCAACAACGCGCACUUGACCUGGCUCACAUUUUCAGUUGCUCGAUUGGAUCUAUGCCGUUCACAUACCUUGGCCUCCCCAUGGGCACGACCAAGCCGACGCUACUUGAUCUCAUGCCGUUGGUGCAUGGGGCGGAAAGGAAAAUGUCAACGGCUCUUUCGUUAAUGUCAUCGGGGGCCAAGCUCACCUUGGUCAAUUCUACAGUCACCUCCAUGUUGAUCUACGCCAUGUGCAUGAUCAAGCCGCACCCAAAAGUGAUUGAGCACCUUGACAAGCUACGCAUGUACUGUCUUUGGGCGAAGAACUCUGAUGAUGGCGUCAAAAAUAAUUCCCUCGCUGCUUGGGAAUUGGUCUGUAGACCCAAAAGUAAAGGGGGGCUUGGAGUCAUCGAUAUCAAAACCCAGAACAUUGCCCUCCUUCUGAAACAUUUGUUUAAGUUUUACAACCACCACAAUGUCCCCUCGGUGACCUUGAUCUGGGACACAUAUUACUCUGACAGAAUUCCACAUGCAGUGGAACCGUUGGGUUCUUUCUGGUGGCGUGAUGUUAUGCAGCUCAGAGAUGUGUUCCGCGGGGUUACCAAGGUCGCUCCGGGCAAUGGCUCCUCAUCUCUGUUUUGGAAAGAUGCAUGGUUCGAUGAUCGUUACGCCCCUCUGAUGGAGAUCUACCCUAGAGCUUUCUCUUUCUGCCUGAAUGAAGACGAGCCAGUGGUUAAUAUUCUCACUGCCACUGACCCAAGCUUGAUCUUCCACCUGCCUCUCUCCACGCAAGCUAGAGAGGAAAUCGGAGAAAUCCAACAUGGGUCCAUGCAUGUCCUGCUUGACAGAGAUUGCAACGACACAUGGGUUUGCAACCUUGGUGGAUCUUUCUCCUCCAAGAGAUACUAUGAUCACUCUUUCAGGGAUACGGUUGCUGAUGUGGCCUUUGGAUGGCUGUGGAAGGCCAAGAGCCCAAUCAAGUUUAAAAUGUUUGGUUGGCUGCUGGUGGUCGAUCGAUUGAACACUAGGAAUAUGCUGAAACGCCGACAUUUUGCUGUGAUCAGGAACAACUACGCGUGCAUGCUUUGUCAAAACCCUCAUGAGGAAACGGUCAAGCAUCUCUUCUUCAACUGCCCGUUUAGCCGCCAUUGUUGA